GUCUAGUUAGUUUUAUAGUAAAACAUGGUUUUUGUAAUACCAAGUAAUCUGUAUAGGUACUAGGCU
rnacentral:tRNA from 1 species